GAGGGUAUAGCUCAGAGUAUGUGCUUGGCAUGCACAAGGUCCUGGGUUCAAUCCCCAGUGCCUUAA
rnacentral:tRNA from 1 species